rnacentral:rRNA from 1 species
CAAUAGCGUAUAUUAAAGUUGUUGCGGUUAAAAAGCUCGUAGUUGGAUUUCUGCCAAAAGAAACCGACCCCAUAAGGGUGUCAGGGGACUUGCGGCUUUUCUUGGCGUGCGUGUGGCACUUGAUUGUGCUGCACUUGCACCAAGACUUUUACUUUGAGGAAAUUAGAGUGUUUCAAGCAGGCGUCUGCCUUGAAUACAUUAGCAUGGAAUAAUAGGAUAGGACUUUGGUUCUAUUUUGUUGGUUUCUGGAAUUGAAGUAAUGAUCAAUAGGGAUAGUCGGGGGCAUUCGUACUUAACUGUCAGAGGUGGAAUUCUUGGAUUUGUUAAAGACGAACUACUGCGAAAGCAUUUGCCAAGGAUGUUUUCAUUGA